CCUACGGGGGGCUGCAGUGGGGAAUAUUGGACAAUGGGCGAAAGCCUGAUCCAGCCAUGCCGCGUGUGUGAAGAAGGCCUUCGGGUUGUAAAGCACUUUCAGUGGGGAAGAAAGCCUUGGGGCUAAUACCCUCGAGGAAGGACAUCACCCACAGAAGAAGCACCGGCUAACUCCGUGCCAGCAGCCGCGGUAAUACGGAGGGUGCGAGCGUUAAUCGGAAUUACUGGGCGUAAAGCGCGCGUAGGCGGUCUGAUAAGCCGGUUGUGAAAGCCCCGGGCUCAACCUGGGAACGGCAUCCGGAACUGUCAGGCUAGAGUGCAGGAGAGGAAGGUAGAAUUCCCGGUGUAGCGGUGAAAUGCGUAGAGAUCGGGAGGAAUACCAGUUGCGAAGGCGGCCUUCUGGACUGACACUGACGCUGAGGUGCGAAAGCGUGGGUAGCAAACAGGAUUAGAUACCCCGGGUAGUC
rnacentral:rRNA from 1 species